rnacentral:rRNA from 1 species
GAUGAACGUUAGCGGGAGGCUUAAUACAUGCAAGUCAAGGGGUCAGCAAUGACACCGGCGGACGGGUGAGUAACGCGUACACAACGUACCUUUAACUGGGGGAUAGCAUUUGGAAACGAGUGGUAAUACCGCAUGUGGUUGUAGGGAGGCAUCUUUUUGCAACUAAAACUCAGGUGGUUAAAGAUCGGUGUGCGUCCGAUUAGCUUGUUGGUGAGGUAAUGGCUCACCAAGGCGACGAUCGGUAGGGGGCGUGAGAGCGUGAACCCCCACACGGGUACUGAGACACGGACCCGACUCCUACGGGAGGCAGCAGUAAGGAAUAUUGGGCAAUGGACGAAAGUCUGACCCAGCCACGCCGCGUGAAGGAUGACUGCCCUAUGGGUUGUAAACUUCUUUUGUAUGGGAAGAAAUUCCGAACGUGUUCGGAGCUGACGGUACCAUAAGAAUAAGCAUCGGCUAACUCCGUGCCAGCAGCCGCGGU